rnacentral:rRNA from 1 species
UACGAAGGGUGCAAGCGUUACUCGGAAUUACUGGGCGUAAAGCGUGCGUAGGUGGUUGUUUAAGUCUGUUGUGAAAGCCCUGGGCUCAACCUGGGAACUGCAGUGGAAACUGGACAACUAGAGUGUGGUAGAGGGUAGCGGAAUUCCCGGUGUAGCAGUGAAAUGCGUAGAGAUGCGGAGGAACACCGAUGGCGAAGGCAGCCCCCUGGGCCAACACUGACGCUCAGGCACGAAAGCGUGGGGAGCAAACAGG